CGCCCAUGAGGCAGUUUGACCGACAUGUCAAACAACCAAUCACAGUUUGUUUCUUUUUAGCGUCACAUUUAGGGGCGAGGAAAUGUCACCACAAUAACAGACCGGCGUAUUUUAAAGAUUCUGUGCCGCGAACUUUAAAUAUUUCAUAUACUUUUGAAAAUCCAGUGUUUAGUUGCUCCUGAUAAGCGCUCGUCAUCACAGUUGUAAACAUGACGGCUUUCUUCUUUCGUGAGGGGGUUUGGCGUCACGGCAUCUUUGUUUCCAGGCAGAACGUUAAAGAACGCAACACACACGUCUACCGGAAAUCCUGUAUAAUUCAACCAAUCCGAUGACGACUUCGAAACUCCUUAAGUGUUUCCACUUUUGUGUGCCAAAUGGAUCAGACAACGUUCUGUGUGCAUGACGUCUGAGGCUGAGACUACAACAUUCUAGACAUGAUAUUCGUCAUCCGUGCUCUUCCACUCACCUCUUAUGGCAAAUAAAAUAGCCAUCGAGGAGUUGAUGAGGAUGUGUGACACUCAAAAACAAAAUAUAAAUAUAAAUACACAAACUCUAUGGAAAGACAUUGAAUCUGUGAGACUGAAGUUACAGACCCUGUGAAAGGUAUGGGUGAAGGUUCAAGGGAAGAUCUUCCGAUGUCCUGCCACUGGGCCUGCGGAUCCUCUGGAGUUCAGACAUGGGCAGGUGUGGGGAUGCCUCUCCAGUGCUGCUGUGCCAGAGUGAUCCAAAGUGGUCCUGUCUCUUUCUCCUGUGUCCGUGAGCUGUCCAGAGAGUGCCUGGCCUGCAGAGAGGGUUUUUCUGUAAAGGAGAAGAAAUGCAGAAGGUGCCAAGUUGACAAGAAAGAUUAAAAACCAUUUUAGAGUCUUCUGUUCUUCUGUUGUACUCUCUACAAGAAUAGUAUAAAUCUCAGUUUUCUGUACAAAAUAUCAAUGCUCAUACAGUAGGUUAGGAAUAUUGUUAAAGUUUCAGGAAAGUUUAGGCUUCAGGCAUUGUUUCUGCGUGUAUGAUUUGUGUGAAUCAACACAAAUCUUCAACACACAAGCUUUAAGGAAAAUAAAUAAACUGAUGCUUUGCAUGCAUUGCAAUAAUUGUGAAGUUCAUGCAAUUAUAGCUUUACAGUGCUUGAGUAUUUCCGACCUUUUUUAAUUAGUUCUGUCCUACGGUCUGUUUUUUCUCUCCAUGGCAUGCUGAUGGAUGGGAAAAAUGACUUCUUUUCUUUAAGCUCCUCCUCCCCUUGUCCAUUUUUCUGGGAUGGUACAGAUGCUGCAACUUCUUCCUUUUGAUCACUGCUCUGCGCAGCAUCUAUCUGUUCUGCUUGCCCUGUCCAUUGUGAAAUCAUGUCCCCUGAAGUCCUUCUGCCAGGUUUCGGGAGAGGAGAGGGUGGAGGUGUGGCAUCUUCAGAUGGUUUGGGGGAUGUAGCUGGUUUUUGGUAAAAUGGAGGCUUGGGGACAAAAUUGACGGCUUCAGUGCGUGCCAAAGGGAGAGUAUUUCUGCUAAACUUACUUCGAGAUUCUUUACUGGGUGCUGUAGUGGAUCGAAAUCCGGUAAUCUCUUGUUGCGGAGAAACAGGGCUAGACUUUUCCGAGAGUGUAGAAGUGUCAGAAUCUUGGUCAGUGGAGGUGAGGGGCACUGGGACACCUUCAAAAUUGUCUCCUGCACUGUACCUUUUCUUCCUCUUCUCUGCAGAUUGUUCAUUGUGGAAGCGAAGAGAGUAGUUGGUUCUUCUCAACUUGAUUCCAAAAGGUGAGGGCUGCUCAUCACCACUCUGGUCCUUCUGAUCCCUUUCAUCCUUUGGAGCCAAGUCUUCUGAUUCUGCCUGACUUAGGGAUCCAGACUCGGAUCUCUGUGAUUUGGGAGAUCCAUGUGGUGGACUGGGAACAAGGAAGGAGGGGAGGUCUUUGGCAAACAUGCAUUCUUCAGCACUAUCUGUGAUGCGGACAACUUUGCUUCCCCUGCUCUGGAUCUUGGUACCUAAAGAGGGCAAUUCAGAUUUUUGUACAGAGGGAGUUUCCGUAGAUGGUGAUUCUAUUGUCACACCUUCUUUGUCUUCCUGACCCAAACUCUCUGAGUUCCUUUUGGAAUCAGUAAACUUCUUUCUGGCUGGUAUGAUGGAAAACUUAGCACUGGCUGACAUGGUUUUCCUGAGGUUGCUGUGAGAGAAUGGCACUGUAUUUAGAUCCUCACUUAUCGGCCUGCGACUCUGAUCUGGGUAUUCGGGAUAUUUUCCAUCCUCAGCACCUUUAAAAAUUUUGGAUCGGAUACUUGCCCAUUCUGCCAGGACAGCAGCAUUUGAUUGGUCUACAGAUAAGGAAGACUCAUAUAAGGAUUUGGUUUUUCCAGAUUUACGAUCUGGUGAAGUCUUGCUUUUGGUUGGAGGAGUGCUCAUGGCCUUUUUGCCUUCCGAAAGGCCAAGAAGGGUCUUGCAGGCUGUGUCUUUGAUCUGAUCGAGAUUGACUGCAGUUCCACAAAGUUGGGCUCCUGUCACAAGAAUUGCAGUAUGUGGGACAUAAAGAGAUGAAGACAGAGUUGGUGAAUCUGUGCAUCCUGGUGAAGAAGCUUUAGCUCCCUCCCUGGUUUCAGCUGUUGAUUCACCCUGUUGGCCAGUUGAUAGAGUAACAGGAGUGAGGUUGACCUUCUGGAAAAGUAUCUGCUUCUCACCUGAAGAAACCUUGAAAGUGAAGGGCCUCUGUCUCUCCUCCAUCUCUCUCCAUCUCAGUUCCUCUGCUUUUCUUUUCCAUUCUGGGUCAGUAGCUCCAGCUUUCUCCUCUUGCUGUUGCCACUUUCUUUCCUCCUCUUCCUCUAGUCUUUUUCUCUCAGUCUCCUCUCGUCGGCUUCUUUUCUCCUCUUCCUCUCUCUGCCGUUUCUCCUCUAACUCUUGAAUCCUAUGUUGUUCUGCCUCCUCCUCCUCUUUUCUCCUUCUCUCCUCCUGCUCCCUUUUUCUUUCCUCUUCCAGAUGAAGACGCUCUGCCUCAAGUUCCUGCUGCCUUCUCUCCUCCUCUGCUCUUCUUCUUUCCUCCUCCUCUUUCCACAUUCUUUCCUCCUCUUGCCUCUUUUGCUCUUCCUCGCGUUUUAAUCUUUGCUCUUCCUCUUCUCUCUUUCUUUCUUCCUCUUCCCUUUCUUUCCUUGCCUCUUCCUCUCGUUGCGUCCUCUCCUCUUCCUCCUUUUGCAGCCUAUCCUCUUCCUGUCUGCGCUGCUUUUCUUCUUCUAGCCUCUGCUCCUCAAUUCUCCUUUGUUGUUCCUCCAUCUUUCUCUCUUCCUCUUGUUCCCUUCUCUGAAACUCAAGGCGUUCUUGCUCCUCCUCAUGAAAUCGUCGCCUUAUCGAUUUCUCAGUGGGUUCAUAAUCCUCUUUGCUCCUAUGGAUAAUGUUAUAGUCCUCUCUUGACAAAUCAAAGACUUCUUCGUCCUUUUGUGUUUCAGAUUGCUCUUGCAUUUCAGAGAAAUCCUCUUCCUGAAACUCCU
ensembl:lncRNA